AUUGAACGCUGGCGGCAUGCUUUACACAUGCAAGUCGAACGGUAACAGGGUGCUUGCACCGCUGACGAGUGGCGAACGGGUGAGUAAUGCGUCGGAACGUGCCGAGUAGUGGGGGAUAACGCAGCGAAAGUUGUGCUAAUACCGCAUACGUACUGAGGUAGAAAGUGGGGGACCUUCGGGCCUCACGCUAUUCGAGCGGCCGACGUCUGAUUAGCUAGUAGGUGAGGUAAAGGCUCACCUAGGCCACGAUCAGUAGCGGGUCUGAGAGGAUGAUCCGCCACACUGGGACUGAGACACGGCCCAGACUCCUACGGGAGGCAGCAGUGGGGAAUUUUGGACAAUGGGCGAAAGCCUGAUCCAGCCAUGCCGCGUGUCUGAAGAAGGCCUUCGGGUUGUAGAGGACUUUUGUCAGGGAGGAAAUCCCUAGUGCUAAUAACACUGGGGGAUGACAGUGCCUGAAGAAUAAGCACCGGCUAACUACGUGCCAGCCGCCGCAGUAA
rnacentral:rRNA from 1 species